rnacentral:piRNA from 1 species
UGACUUUCCCCANACUUAGGAUGGCCUGUC